rnacentral:rRNA from 1 species
AAUCAACGCUGGCGGCGUGCCUAAUACAUGCAAGUCGAACGCGAAAGUGGAGCAAUCCAUGAGUAGAGUGGCAAACGGGUGAGUAACGCGUGGGUGACCUGCCUUCGAGUGGGGGAUAACGUCUCGAAAGGGACGCUAAUACCGCAUGACAUCCUGCCUUUUAAGAGGCGGAGAUCAAAGCUGGGGAUCGCAAGACCUAGCGCUUGAAGAGGGGCCCGCGCCGAUUAGCUAGUUGGUGGGUAACGGCUCACCAAGGCAUCGAUCGGUAGCCGGCCUGAGAGGGCGGACGGCCACACUGGGACUGAGACACGGCCCAGACUCCUACGGGAGGCAGCAGUAGGGAAUUGUUCGCAAUGGGCGCAAGCCUGACGACGCAACGCCGCGUGGAGGAUGAAGACC